rnacentral:tRNA from 1 species
AAGAAAGUAGGCAAGAACUGCUAAUUCAUGCAACCAUAUAUAAACCAUAUGGCUUUCUUG